GAUGAAGAACGCAGUGAAAUGCGAUAAGUAAUGCGAAUUGCAGAAUUUCCGUGAGUCAUCGAAUCUUUUAACGCACAUUGCGCCCAUUGGUAUUCCGAUGGGCAUGCCUGUUCGAGCGUCAUUAUCCUCCCUCAAACCUCGGGUUUGGUGUUGGACCCAAGUUGUGCGAUGAACAACUGGUCUUAAAGACAAUGACGGCGUCCGUGGGACCCUCGAUGCAACGAGCUUUAAGGAGCACGCGUCGAGUUGUAAAAGGACCCUCCGGGCCGAUCUACCUCUCUUUCUCAGGUUGACCUCGGAUCAGGUAGGAAUACCCGCUGAACUUAAGCAUAUCAAUAAGCGGAGGA
rnacentral:misc_RNA from 1 species